AGCAAGGAAUUUUCCGCAAUGGGGGAAACCCUGACGGAGCAACGCCGCGUGCGGGAAGACGCUUUUCGGAGUGUAAACCGCUUUUCUUGGGGACGAUGAAGGACGGUACCCGAGGAAUAAGGCCCGGCUAACUACGUGCCAGCAGCCGCGGUAAUACGUAGGGGCCGAGCGUUGUCCGGAGUUAUUGGGCGUAAAGCGCGCGCAGGCGGCUUCGCGCGUCCGACGUGAAAGCCCCCGGCUUAACCGGGGAGGGUCGUUGGGUACGGCGGAGCUUGAGGGCGGGAGAGGGUGGUGGAAUUCCCGGUGUAGUGGUGAAAUGCGUAGAGAUCGGGAGGAACACCUGUGGCGAAGGCGGCCACCUGGGCCGACCCUGACGCUGAGGCGCGAAGGCGUGGGGAGCGAA
rnacentral:rRNA from 1 species